CACGGGGGGAGCAAGCGUUGUUCGGAUUCAUUGGGCGUAAAGGGCUCGUAGGUGGCUUUGUAAGUCGGAGGUGAAAUCCCACGGCUCAACCGUGGACACGCCCUUCGAAACUGUGAAGCUUGAGGCUGGGAGAGGAAAUCGGAAUUCCUGGUGUAGCGGUGAAAUGCGUAGAUAUCAAGGAGGAACACCGGUGGCGAAGGCGGAUUUCUGGACCAGUUCUGACACGUGAUGAGCGGAAAGCCAAGGGGAGCAAACAGG
rnacentral:rRNA from 1 species